AGAAGCAAAUAAAUGAGAAACUUUUUGUAGAACUGCAUGCACAUCAGGUUGCAAGGGUUGUAAAGAGUAAUAUGAGUUGGGUGAAGACAAAGACGGACAACACUCUUAAGUCCCUGGUUACUAAUCACUGCUAUUUUGUAUAUACCAUAUACUAAAGUGUGUACUAAACACUUAUUCUUUUUCUAAUCCACCUAAGUGUAGCAGUUUCUGGCACAGAGAUCCUAAAAAUCUUUGGAAUGAUGGGAGGAUAUUUUAUUC